CACCAUGAAAUUGUCAGUGCUUUGUACUUUGGUGAUUUUAGGCUUCGUCUCUUCUGGACUUCUGCCUGAGGUGUCCUCAGAUGCAGGAAGUAUACCAACACCAGGACCUGUUUCUGUUUCUACUCAAAAAUCCAUAAAUACAGCUACUCCAACUUCUGUUCCAUCAAAAAGGCCAACCCGUUCAAAAUACGUUGGCAUUGAUCCCAAAGUUUUAAUUGCAGUUGAAGAGAGCUUUAUUCCUCCUUGGUUCAAUAAUCCCUUCCCCUUUCCCCAUCUACAAAGACUUUGGCGACGACGACGAGACGUGCCCAGCAAACCUCAAAAAGGAGGUAAAGGAAAACCACCAUCAUUUAAAGAUAUUGAUCAACCUGCUUGGUAGAUAGAUAUGGCCAACCUCAUGGAGGACGUGCUGUAUCACUAUCGUUCGAAAAUAUUAAUACGCAUAGUUGGUAGAUCAUUGACUUAAAAUAAAGAACAUGAUUUUAAUGA